AUUGAACGCUGGCGGCAGGCCUAACACAUGCAAGUCGAACGGUAACAGGAAGACGCUUGCUUCUUUGCUGACGAGUGGCGGACGGGUGAGUAAUGUCUGGGAAACUGCCGGAUGGAGGGGGAUAACUACUGGAAACGGUAGCUAAUACCGCAUAACGUCGCAAGACCAAAGAGGGGGACCUUCGGGCCUCUUGCCAUCGGAUGGGCCCAGAUGGGAUUAGCUUGUUGGUGGGGUAACGGCUCACCAAGGCGACGAUCCCUAGCUGGUCUGAGAGGAUGACCAGCCACACUGGAACUGAGACACGGUCCAGACUCCUACGGGAGGCAGCAGUGGGGAAUAUUGCACAAUGGGCGCAAGCCUGAUGCAGCCAUGCCGCGUGUAUGAAGAAGGCCUUCGGGUUGUAAAGUACUUUCAGCGGGGAGGAAGGGAGUAAAGUUAAUACCUUUGCUCAUUGACGUUACCCGCAGAAGAAGCACCGGCUAACUCCGUG
rnacentral:rRNA from 1 species